rnacentral:sRNA from 1 species
UGUUGCCACUAGGCUUAGGCGGAUAGCCUCGCAGAGGAGCCUAGGUGGGGAGGGGGACGAAGAAGUAACGUUUGGGACUGUGGGAUGUUGAAAUGGUCUCUUCGGAGGCUGCCGGGAUUGAAACUGGGCAAGGUCCCAGGGCCCGAGUAGAGCCGGAGCGUGCUACGCGGCGAUCCCUGAGCCACGGGGUUUUCAGCGCCCGGGAAGCCAGGCUUGCCAGGUUGGGGCGGCUGGCGGAGCAGGGCUUCUCGGUCCGUCCCAAGUCCAGGUAAGCGCUCGCGAUCCGCGCGGGCAGGGAGAACGCGCCCCUACAGUGCUCGCGAGGUGCAGUGCGCCCCUGGGGGCUCCGGGGCCGUCGGGCCAGGUCGGCUUGGCGCCCAGGGACUGGCCGGACGGGCUGGGCCUUUGGCGGGGGUGGAAGAGGAGGUUGCCGCGCCCUGCCCGGCCCAGGUGUCGUCUCCGGGGGCGGGGUUUGGAGCCCCGCAGCGGGAGAUUCCCGGCCGGACUGGCGGGCGAGCGUCGAGAGACAGAAGCCGAGAAGAGGAGGCUAAGCCGGGCGGCGCGGGGAGCGCACUGCGCAGGCAAAGUCGCAGGGCCGCCAGUAUGUUCUCCCGAAACCACCGGAGCCGGGUCACCGUGGCCAGGGGCUCCGCCCUGGAGAUGGAGUUCAAACGCGGCCGCUUCCGACUCAGCCUCUUCAGCGACCCGCCCGAGGACACGGAAUUGCAGAGGAAGCUAGACCAUGAGAUCCGGAUGAGGGAAGGGGCCUGUAAGCUGCUGGCAGCCUGCUCCCAGCGAGAGCAGGCUCUGGAGGCCACCA